rnacentral:rRNA from 1 species
UCGCCAGACUCCUACGGGAGGCAGCAGUGAGGAAUAUUGGUCAAUGGCCGGAAGGCUGAACCAGCCAAGUCGCGUGAGGGACGACUGCCCUAUGGGUUGUAAACCUCUUUUAUAAGGGAAGAAUAAAUGCUACGUGUAGCAUGAUGCCUGUACCUUAUGAAUAAGCAUCGGCUAACUCCGUGCCAGCAGCCGCGGUAAUACGGAGGAUGCGAGCGUUAUCCGGAUUUCUUGGGUGUAAAGGGUGCGCAGGGGGAGGUGAAAGACAGUCGUGAAAGCCCGGGGCCCAACCCCGGGGCCGCCGUUGAAACUGGCAGUCUCGAGUUGGAGAGAAGUAUGCGGAAUGCGCGGUGUAGCGGUGAAAUGCAUAGAUAUCGCGCGGAACUCCGAUUGCGAAGGCAGCAUGCCGGCUCCACACUGACGCUGAGGCACGAAAGCGUGGGUAUCGAACAGGAUUAGAUACCCGCGUA